UACGAAGGGGACUAGCGUUGUUCGGAAUCACUGGGCGUAAAGCGCACGUAGGCGGAUGUGUCAGUCAGGGGUGAAAUCCCGGGGCUCAACCUCGGAACUGCCUUUGAUACAGCACGUCUCGAGUCCGGAAGAGGUGGGUGGAAUUCCUAGUGUAGAGGUGAAAUUCGUAGAUAUUAGGAAGAACACCGGUGCGAAGGCGGCCCACUGGUCCGGUACUGACGCUGAGACACGAAAGCGUGGGUAGCAAACAGG
rnacentral:rRNA from 1 species